rnacentral:rRNA from 1 species
UACGUAGGGGGCAAGCGUUGUCCGGAUUUACUGGGCGUAAAGAGCGUGUAGGCGGCCAAACAGGUCCGUUGUGAAAACUCGAGGCUCAACCUCGAGACGCCGAUGGAAACCAUCUGACUAGAGUCCGGAAGAGGAGAGUGGAAUUCCUGGUGUAGCGGUGAAAUGCGCAGAUAUCAGGAAGAACACCCGUGGCUAAGGCGGCUCUCUAGUACGGUACUGACGCUGAGACGCGAAAGCGUGGGGAGCGAACAGG